rnacentral:rRNA from 1 species
GACGAACGCUGGCGGCGUGCCUAAUACAUGCAAGUAGAACGCUGAAGAGAGGAGCUUGCUCUUCUUGGAUGAGUUGCGAACGGGUGAGUAACGCGUAGGUAACCUGCCUUGUAGCGGGGGAUAACUAUUGGAAACGAUAGCUAAUACCGCAUAGCAAUGGAUGACACAUGUCAUUUAUUUGAAAGGGGCAAUUGCUCCACUACAAGAUGGACCUGCGUUGUAUUAGCUAGUAGGUGAGGUAAUGGCUCACCUAGGCGACGAUACAUAGCCGACCUGAGAGGGUGAUCGGCCACACUGGGACUGAGACACGGCCCAGACUCCUACGGGAGGAAGAAGUAGGGAAUCUUCGGCAAUGGGGGCAACCCUGACCGAGCAACGCCGCGUGAGUGAAGAAGGUUUUCGGGUCGUAAAGCUCUGUUGUAAGUCAAGAACGGGUGUGAGAGUGGAAAGUUCACACUGUGACGGUAGCUUACCAGAAAGGGACGGCUAACUACGUG